rnacentral:rRNA from 2 species
UUUGUUUGGAGAGUUUGA